rnacentral:rRNA from 1 species
AACGUAGGAGACAAACGUUAUCCGGAGUUACUGGGCGUAAAGGGCGUGUAGGUGGUUUCGUAAGUCUGGCGUGAAAUUUUUCGGCUUAACCGGGAAAGGUCGUCGGAUACUGCGGAACUAGAGGACGGUAGAGGGGGAUGGAAUUCCGCGUGUAGCAGUGAAAUGCGUAGAUAUGCGGAGGAACACCGAUGGCGAAGGCAAUCCCCUGGGCCUGCACUGACACUCAUGCACGAAAGCGUGGGGAGCAAACAGG